rnacentral:rRNA from 1 species
UGUUAGUAACGGCGAGUGAAGCGGCAAAAGCUCAAUUUGAAAUCGCUUCGGCGAGUUGUAAGUGAAGUGGUUAAGCUUUGAUGUAAGUUUCCUGGAACGGAACGCCAUAGAGGGUGAUAGCCCCGUUGUCUUUGCUUAAUGUGCUACUUCAGAGCGAGUCGAGUUGUUUAAUA